rnacentral:lncRNA from 1 species
CUAUCCUUCCUUUGUAUUAUCUAUAUUGUGCUAUCACAGUAAAUAGCUAUAUUUAAUAUCCAGACAAUCCCCGACUGUUGCUGAAUACAUUGAGGAUACAUUUUCGAGUUUUUCAUAGUUUAUAUGCCUCCGAGAAAUCCCAGGCUCACAUUUUAUGCAUGAAGAAACUGUUUAACAUUAUACAUGGAGAGUUUUCAGCCCGGUUAAACGAGCUCAAAUUGCAUCACGAUAAUUUGCAUGAGCAGUUUGAGCUCGGUCUGAGUUUAGUCAGAGCUACAGUAUACUGUAAACCUCCGACUAUAAGCCCCUCCAAAUAUAAGCCUCCCCAUGUAUAAGCCCAGGUGUGCCACAUGUACUAACGCUCACCUCAUUCCAAAUAUAAGGCCCCCCCCGUAUAUAAUUCCCCCAAAUGUAAGUUCCCUAAUUAAUAUAAGCCCAGUAAUCGCUGCUUAAUACAUG